AUUGAACGCUGGCGGAAUGCUUUACACAUGCAAGUCGAACGGCAGCACGGGCUUCGGUCUGGUGGCGAGUGGCGAACGGGUGAGUAAUGUAUCGGAACGUGCCCAGUCGUGGGGGAUAACGUAGUGAAAAUUACGCUAAUACCGCAUACGAUCUAUGGAUGAAAGCGGGGGAUCGCAAGACCUCGCGCGAUUGGAGCGGCCGAUAUCAGAUUAGAUAGUUGGUGGGGUAAAGGCCCACCAAGCCAACGAUCUGUAGCUGGUCUGAGAGGACGACCAGCCACACUGGAACUGAGACACGGUCCAGACUCCUACGGGAGGCAGCAGUGGGGAAUUUUGGACAAUGGGCGAAAGCCUGAUCCAGCCAUUCCGCGUGCAGGAUGAAGGCCCUCGGGUUGUAAACUGCUUUUGUACAGAACGAAAAGGUUUCUACUAAUACUAGGAGCUCAUGACGGUACUGUAAGAAUAAGCACCGGCUAACUACGUGCCAGCAGCCGCCGUAA
rnacentral:rRNA from 1 species